rnacentral:rRNA from 1 species
GACGAACGCUGGCGGCGUGGAUUAGGCAUGCAAGUCGAACGGUAUCAUCCUUUCGGGGGUGAGAGAGUGGCGAACUGGUGAGUAACACGUAGGUUAUCUACCCUCAAGACGGGGACAACCCAGGGAAACUUGGGCUAAUACCGGAUGUGAGCAACUUUUAGUUGUUUGAAAGGUGGCGUAAGCUGUCGCUUGGGGAUGAGCCUGCGUCCUAUUAGUUAGUUGGUGAGGUAACGGCUCACCUAGGCAAUGAUAGGUAGGCGGCCUUAACGGGUGGUCGCCCACACUGGGAUUGAGAUACGGCCCAGACUCCUACGGGAGGCAGCAGUCGAGAAUAGUCUACAAUGGACGGAAGUCUGAUAGUGCGACGCCGCGUGAACGAUGAAUCCCUUCGGGGUGUAAAGUUCUUUUAUAUGUGAGCAGUGCUUCUUAUAUUAACAGUAUGGGGAGAGAGAUAUUAGCAUAUGAAUAAGCAACGGCUAACUCCGUGCCAGCAGCCGCGGU